rnacentral:rRNA from 1 species
CUUAACCUUCGGGAGGGCGCUUACCACUUUGUGAUUCAUGACUGGGGUGAAGUCGUAACAAGGUAACCGUAGGGGAACCUGCGGUUGGAUCACCUCCUUACCUAAGAGA